GAUGAACGCUGGCGGCGUGCCUAAUACAUGCAAGUCGAGCGAACAGACGAGGAGCUUGCUCCUCUGACGUUAGCGGCGGACGGGUGAGUAACACGUGGAUAACCUACCUAUAAGACUGGGAUAACUUCGGGAAACCGGAGCUAAUACCGGAUAAUAUAUUGAACCGCAUGGUUCAAUAGUGAAAGACGGUUUUGCUGUCACUUAUAGAUGGAUCCGCGCCGCAUUAGCUAGUUGGUAAGGUAACAGCUUACCAAGGCAACGAUGCGUAGCCGACCUGAGAGGGUGAUCGGCCACACUGGAACGGAGACACGGUCCAGACUCCUACGGGAGGCAGCAGUAGGGAAUCUUCCGCAAUGGGCGAAAGCCUGACGGAGCAACGCCGCGUGAGUGAUGAAGGUCUUCGGAUCGUAAAACUCUGUUAUUAGGGAAGAACAAAUGUGUAAGUAACUAUGCACGUCUUGACGGUACCUAAUCAGAAAGCCACGGCUAACUACGUG
rnacentral:rRNA from 1 species